GCGUCGGUAGCUCAGUCGGUAGAGCAACGCCCUUUUAAGGCGUGGGUCCUGGGUUCGAGUCCCAGCCGACGCACCA
rnacentral:tRNA from 1 species